AGGUUCUUAGGUUCUGUUCUUCUAGGAGGUGCGUGUGCGACAUUCUCCGUUUCAUAUAAUCAGGUUCCACUUUAGAUUGAAGUCCUUUUACAAGUUACCAGGAAUUUUUGAAGAAAUAAAAUAUUGGCACAAUAUGAUUUGUCUACCUUUUCCCUGUCUUACUUACCUUCUUUACUUACCUUCCUUACCUUCAGCUUACCUUCCUUAAACAUCUCUUGACCGCCCAACAUGUCAGACACCGACCUGAGAGCUAGGUACAGAGCAGGUGUCCUUUAAUUCCUUAGUUAGCCUGAGUUAACCUAUAGAUUUGCUGUCAAAAGGUCUAACCUGGGCAGUUGCAUCUAGUUCACCCUGUAGGUACACCGUGCAGCCCAUUCUACAAACAUUGACCAGGUGCCUGCUUCCUGCCAGCUACUGUAUCACAUGCAUGUGGACUUUGUCUUCAAGCAGUUCAUGUUGUUUUGGAGGGAGCCUGACACGCAAGCUAACAAUCACGAUAAGAUACAGCGACCACAUGUCCUAUCUGUAAAGUGUGGUCAUUCAGUGAUCCAGGUUUCCUUCAUUGCGUGACCUCACAGUCUCCUCAGGCAAUGUCAUCAUCUGCAUGAAUGAGGUGUGGUUGAUCUGGAUUCCAGUAGAAAGGAGGAAUAGAAUAUCGAGGAGGUGAAUAUUCAGGAGGGAGGCCAUGGCCUGGAGAGGACGCUGGUGACCAGGGAAGAGCAGAAGAGUGAAAUCUGCUGCCAUUUGCCAUGGCAGACUGCCAUGGGCACAGUGGCUAACUCUGCAGGAGUAAUCUGACUUCAAACAACGGAAGUCAGUGCUGGGCGUUCUUGGGUCCAGUGGGAAAUAGUUUUAAUAAGGUUCUGGGACAUCUCCUAGAGAAAGGAAAUGUCCAGUGAUUACUCAGAACUAUGUUAAUUGUGGAUGUAUCAAAGAUUACUGAACGCCCUUUGCAAUAUUUUCCUGAGGCAGAUGGAGAAUAAACACCUUCAUUAUGGGUACUCAGAUGAUCCACUGUGCUGAAUUACAUUGAGAAGCACCUGGUACGUUUCUUGAUCUACCCGUGCACUCACGUACCCUGCUGUAACGUCAGGAUUGCCCUAAGUGGGUACCUAUCUCCUACGAAAUACCAAGUGCGUUUUCCACAGCCUUUCAGAACCUCUGAUAGUGCUACCCAAACAAAUCCUGGAGUAACGAGGCAGUUCUAAUGUAAAUGUUUAAUAGAGGCAAGGGAUUCUCAUCUGAUUACUUUGCUGCUGCAGAGAAAGAGGAUCUAAUUUAACAUCAAGUCUGUAAUUAGUGAAUAGUGCUCUUUUGCCUGGGUAAACGAAAUCCCUUGCAUUUUGAUAAUGACUUGCAUUCAGAAUUGAAAUUAAACUAAGCUAAAAAAAAAAUCAUAACUUUACCUUAGGGUAGCACACUAAGUCAAUGCCAUAUAGACUGUUUACAAAAGUAAAUCUAAAGCACAAUGUUCUGGAGUUGACUUUACUAGGGAAGCUGCAACCUUUAUUU